ACGAUUUUAUUUCUUUGAGCAACGAAAAGUAUUGAAAGUAUUAGAAAAGUAUUGAUUUAGCAGCAUUUGUUUUGUUUUCGUAAGGUUUGCUGGCUGUAAGCUGAACGCUGAGUUGACUUUCUGUUUAGCAUUACACUUGUGUGAGUUCCAGACGAGUUAGUGCUUACUACAAGUAGUACAAACGAAAUAGUGGCUAAGUAGCUAAAUACUAAAGUGGACUUUAAAUACCAGCGUGAAUAGCCGUGAUAAGGAGAAGCUGCACGAUCCAGGUAACGCCCUGAAUCACCGAGAGGUUCAGGGUUCCCCUGGCAACGGGGGAUUGCGAGGAUCGCCAGGACGCGCAUAUCAGUGAGAACUGAGUGAUUAAAGUUUCCUAGGGAGGACUCUUCACUACGGAGUUGAGAUCGUUGUUUGAUGUGGUUCGUGUUGGUGUUCCGUGUCCAGUUCCUGCCUUGUGUUCCUGUUCUUUGUCUGGAUCUAGUGAUUUCUACGUUCGUCUCACCAUCAUCUCUUCACCGCACUUCUUCACGGAUCCUGACCAUCUUGUCCCUGCGUCACGGUGGAGAGCUAAUGCAGGAAAAGAGGUCAAAAGAGACGCUGAAGUCCUGCUUUCUCGACAGGU